rnacentral:rRNA from 1 species
AACGAACGCUGGCGGCAUGCCUAACACAUGCAAGUCGAACGAUUGCCUUCGGGUGAUAGUGGCGCACGGGUGCGUAACGCGUGGGAAUCUGCCCUUAGGUUCGGAAUAACAGCUGGAAACGGCUGCUAAUACCGGAUGAUAUCGCGAGAUCAAAGAUUUAUCGCCUGAGGAUGAGCCCGCGUUGGAUUAGGUAGUUGGUGGGGUAAAGGCCUACCAAGCCGACGAUCCAUAGCUGGUCUGAGAGGAUGAUCAGCCACACUGGGACUGAGACACGGCCCAGACUCCUACGGGAGGCAGCAGUGGGGAAUAUUGGACAAUGGGCGCAAGCCUGAUCCAGCAAUGCCGCGUGAGUGAUGAAGGCCCUAGGGUUGUAAAGCUCUUUUACCCGGGAAGAUAAUGACUGUACCGGGAGAAUAAGCCACGGCUAACUCCGUG